AACACAUGCAAGUCGAGGGGCAGCAUUCCAGUUUGCUUGCAAACUGGAGAUGGCGACCGGCGCACGGGUGAGUAACACGUAUCCAACCUGCCGAUAACUCGGGGAUAGCCUUUCGAAAGAAAGAUUAAUACCCGAUGGCAUAAUAGAACCGCAUGGUUUGAUUAUUAAAGAAUUUCGGUUAUCGAUGGGGAUGCGUUCCAUUAGGCAGUUGGUGGGGUAACGGCCCACCAAACCUUCGAUGGAUAGGGGUUCUGAGAGGAAGGUCCCCCACAUUGGAACUGAGACACGGUCCAAACUCCUACGGGAGGCAGCAGUGAGGAAUAUUGGUCAAUGGACGAGAGUCUGAACCAGCCAAGUAGCGUGAAGGAUGACUGCCCUAUGGGUUGUAAACUUCUUUUAUAUGGGAAUAAAGUGGUCCACGUGUGGAUUUUUGUAUGUACCAUAUGAAUAAGGAUCGGCUAACUCCGUGCCAGCAGCCGCGGUAAUACGGAGGAUCCGAGCGUUAUCCGGAUUUAUUGGGUUUAAAGGGAGCGUAGGUGGACAGUUAAGUCAGUUGUGAAAGUUUGCGGCUCAACCGUAAAAUUGCAGUUGAUACUGGCUGUCUUGAGUACAGUAGAGGUGGGCGGAAUUCGUGGUGUAGCGGUGAAAUGCUUAGAUAUCACGAAGAACUCCGAUUGC
rnacentral:rRNA from 1 species